rnacentral:tRNA from 1 species
GGGCCUAUAGCUCAGAUUGGUUAGAGCGCGCGCCUGAUAAGUGCGAGGUCCCUGGUUCGAGCCCAGGUAGGCCCA